AUUGAACGCUGGCGGCAGGCCUAACACAUGCAAGUCGAGCGGAGCGGCGGACGGGUGAGUAAUGCCUAGGAAUCUGCCUGGUAGUGGGGGAUAACGUCCGGAAACGGGCGCGAAUAUCGAAUACUAUCAGAUGAGCCUAGGUCGGAUUAGCGAGUUGGUGGGGUAAAGGCCUGCCAAGGCGACGAUCCGUAACUGGUCUGAGAGGAUGAUCAGUCACACUGGAAAUGCGACACGGUCCGGACUCCUACGUGAGGCAGCAGUGGGGAAUAUUGGACGAUGGGCGAAAGCCUGAUCCAUCCAUGCCGCGUGUGUGAAGAAGGUCUUCGGAUUGUAAAGCACUUUAAGUUGGGAGGCGUUACCAACAGAAUAAGCACCGGCUAACUUCGUGCCAGCAGCCGCGGUAAUUC
rnacentral:rRNA from 1 species